rnacentral:rRNA from 1 species
AAUCUGCGAUAAGCGCCGGUAAGGUGAUAUGAACCGUUAUAACCGGCGAUACCCGAAUGGGGAAACCCAGUGUGACUCGUCACACUAUCAUUAACUGAAUCCAUAGGUUAAUGAGGCGAACCGGGGGAACUGAAACAUCUAAGUACCCCGAGGAAAAGAAAUCAACCGAGAUUCCCCCAGUAGCGGCGAGCGAACGGGGAGGAGCCCAGAGCCUGAAUCAGCAUGUGUGUUAGUGGAAGCGUCUGGAAAGGCGCGCGAUACAGGGUGACAGCCCCGUACACAAAAGCGCAUGUGCUGUGAGCUCGAUGAGUAGGGCGGGACACGUGGUAUCCUGUCUGAAUAUGGGGGGACCAUCCUCCAAGGCUAAAUACUCCUGACUGACCGAUAGUGAACCAGUACCGUGAGGGAAAGGCGAAAAGAACCCCGGCGAGGGGAGUGAAAAAGAACCUGAAACCGUGUACGUACAAGCAGUGGGAGCCCCCUUUGGGUGUGACUGCGUACCUUUUGUAUAAUGGGUCAGCGACUUAUAUUCUGUAGCAAGGUUAACCGAAUAGGGGAGCCGGAGGGAAACCGAGUCUUAACCGGGCGUUAAGUUGCAGGGUAUAGACCCGAAACCCGGUGAUCUAGCCAUGGGCAGGUUGAAGGUUGGGUAACACUAACUGGAGGACCGAACCGACUAAUGUUGAAAAAUUAGCGGAUGACCUGUGGCUGGGGGUGAAAGGCCAAUCAAACCGGGAGAUAGCUGGUUCUCCCCGAAAGCUAUUUAGGUAGCGCCUCGUGAAUUCAUCUCCGGGGGUAGAGCACUGUUUCGGCUAGGGGGCCAUCCCGGCUUACCAACCCGAUGCAAACUGCGAAUACCGGAGAAUGUUAUCACGGGAGACACACGGCGGGUGCUAACGUCCGUCGUGAAGAGGGAAACAACCCAGACCGCCAGCUAAGGUCCCAAAGUCAUGGUUAAGUGGGAAACGAUGUGGGAAGGCCCAGACAGCCAGGAUGUUGGCUUAGAAGCAGCCAUCAUUUAAAGAAAGCGUAAUAGCUCACUGGUCGAGUCGGCCUGCGCGGAAGAUGUAACGGGGCUAAACCAUGCACCGAAGCUGCGGCAGCGACACUGUGUGUUGUUGGGUAGGGGAGCGUUCUGUAAGCCUGUGAAGGUGUGUCGUGAGGCAUGCUGGAGGUAUCAGAAGUGCGAAUGCUGACAUAAGUAACGAUAAAGCGGGUGAAAAGCCCGCUCGCCGGAAGACCAAGGGUUCCUGUCCAACGUUAAUCGGGGCAGGGUGAGUCGACCCCUAAGGCGAGGCCGAAAGGCGUAGUCGAUGGGAAACGGGUUAAUAUUCCCGUACUUGGUGUUACUGCGAAGGGGGGACGGAGAAGGCUAUGUUGGCCGGGCGACGGUUGUCCCGGUUUAAGCGUGUAGGUGUGUGUUCCAGGUAAAUCCGGUUCACUUUAACACUGAGGCGUGACGACGAGGCACUACGGUGCUGAAGCAACAAAUGCCCUGCUUCCAGGAAAAGCCUCUAAGCAUCAGGUAACAUCAAAUCGUACCCCAAACCGACACAGGUGGUCAGGUAGAGAAUACCAAGGCGCUUGAGAGAACUCGGGUGAAGGAACUAGGCAAAAUGGUGCCGUAACUUCGGGAGAAGGCACGCUGACACGUAGGUGAAGUGAUUUACUCAUGGAGCUGAAGUCAGUCGAAGAUACCAGCUGGCUGCAACUGUUUAUUAAAAACACAGCACUGUGCAAACACGAAAGUGGACGUAUACGGUGUGACGCCUGCCCGGUGCCGGAAGGUUAAUUGAUGGGGUCAGCGCAAGCGAAGCUCCUGAUCGAAGCCCCGGUAAACGGCGGCCGUAACUAUAACGGUCCUAAGGUAGCGAAAUUCCUUGUCGGGUAAGUUCCGACCUGCACGAAUGGCGUAAUGAUGGCCAGGCUGUCUCCACCCGAGACUCAGUGAAAUUGAACUCGCUGUGAAGAUGCAGUGUACCCGCGGCAAGACGGAAAGACCCCGUGAACCUUUACUAUAGCUUGACACUGAACAUUGAGCCUUGAUGUGUAGGAUAGGUGGGAGGCUUUGAAGUGUGGACGCCAGUCUGCAUGGAGCCGACCUUGAAAUACCACCCUUUAAUGUUUGAUGUUCUAACGUGGACCCGUUACCCGGGUUGCGGACAGUGUCUGGUGGGUAGUUUGACUGGGGCGGUCUCCUCCUAAAGAGUAACGGAGGAGCACGAAGGUUGGCUAAUCCUGGUCGGACAUCAGGAGGUUAGUGCAAUGGCAUAAGCCAGCUUGACUGCGAGCGUGACGGCGCGAGCAGGUGCGAAAGCAGGUCAUAGUGAUCCGGUGGUUCUGAAUGGAAGGGCCAUCGCUCAACGGAUAAAAGGUACUCCGGGGAUAACAGGCUGAUACCGCCCAAGAGUUCAUAUCGACGGCGGUGUUUGGCACCUCGAUGUCGGCUCAUCACAUCCUGGGGCUGAAGUAGGUCCCAAGGGUAUGGCUGUUCGCCAUUUAAAGUGGUACGCGAGCUGGGUUUAGAACGUCGUGAGACAGUUCGGUCCCUAUCUGCCGUGGGCGCUGGAGAACUGAGGGGGGCUGCUCCUAGUACGAGAGGACCGGAGUGGACGCAUCACUGGUGUUCGGGUUGUCAUGCCAAUGGCACUGCCCGGUAGCUAAAUGCGGAAGAGAUAAGUGCUGAAAGCAUCUAAGCACGAAACUUGCCCCGAGAUGAGUUCUCCCUGAGACUUAGAGUCUCCUGAAGGAACGUUGAAGACGACGACGUUGAUAGGCCGGGUGUGUAAGCGCAGCGAUGCGUUGAGCUAACCGGUACUAAUGAACCGUGAGGCUUAACCUUACAACGCCGAAG